rnacentral:tRNA from 1 species
ACCUUCGUGGUGUAACGGUAGCAAACUCAACAUGUAUUCGAGAGGUCGAGGUUCGAUUCCUGGCGAGGGCA